rnacentral:rRNA from 1 species
UUAACACAUGCAAGUCGAGGGGCAGCAUGGUCUUAGCUUGCUAAGGCCGAUGGCGACCGGCGCACGGGUGAGUAACGCGUAUCCAACCUGCCUUACACUCUUGGACAGCCUUCUGAAAGGGAGAUUAAUACAAGAUGUUAUCAUGAGUAAGCAUUUUCGCAUGAUUAAAGGUUUACCGGUGUAAGAUGGGGAUGCGUUCCAUUAGAUAGUAGGCGGGGUAACGGCCCACCUAGUCUUCGAUGGAUAGGGGUUCUGAGAGGAAGGUCCCCCACAUUGGAACUGAGACACGGUCCAAACUCCUACGGGAGGCAGCAGUGAGGAAUAUUGGUCAAUGGACGAGAGUCUGAACCAGCCAAGUAGCGCGAAGGAUGAAGGUUCUAUGGAUUGUAAACUUCUUUUAUACGGGAAUAAACGAAUCCACGUGUGGAUUUUUGCAUGUACCGUAUGAAUAAGGAUCGGCUAACUCCGUGCCAGCAGCCGCGGUAAUACGGAGGAUCCGAGCGUUAUCCGGAUUUAUUGGGUUUAAAGGGAGCGUAGAUGGGUUGUUAAGUCAGUUGUGAAAGUUUGCGGCUCAACCGUAAAAUUGCAAUUGAUACUGGCAGUCUUGAGUACAGUUGAGGUAGGCGGAAUUCGUGGUGUAGCGGUGAAAUGCUUAGAUAUCACGAAGAACUCCGAUUGCGAAGGCAGCUUACUAACCUGUAACUGACAUUGAUGCUCGAAAGUGUGGGUAUCAAACAGGAUUAGAUACCCUGGUAGUCCACACGGUAAACGAUGAAUACUCGCUGUAGGCGAUAUACAGUCUGCGGCCAAGCGAAAGCAUUAAGUAUUCCACCUGGGGAGUACGCCGGCAACGGUGAAACUCAAAGGAAUUGACGGGGGCCCGCACAAGCGGAGGAACAUGUGGUUUAAUUCGAUGAUACGCGAGGAACCUUACCCGGGCUUAAAUUGCAACCGAAUAUGGCGGAAACGCUAUAGCUAGCAAUAGCGGUUGUGAAGGUGCUGCAUGGUUGUCGUCAGCUCGUGCCGUGAGGUGUCGGCUUAAGUGCCAUAACGAGCGCAACCCUUGCCGAUAGUUACUAACAGGUCAUGCUGAGGACUCUGUCGGGACUGCCAUCGUAAGAUGUGAGGAAGGUGGGGAUGACGUCAAAUCAGCACGGCCCUUACGUCCGGGGCUACACACGUGUUACAAUGGGGGGUACAGAGGGCUGCUACCACGCAAGUGGAUGCCAAUCCCAAAAACCUCUCUCAGUUCGGAUUGAAGUCUGCAACCCGACUUCAUGAAGCUGGAUUCGCUAGUAAUCGCGCAUCAGCCACGGCGCGGUGAAUACGUUCCCGGGCCUUGUACACACCGCCCGUCAAGCCAUGGGAGCCGGGGGUACCUGAAGUGCGUAACCGCAAGGAGCGCCCUAGGGUAAAACUGGUGACUGGGGCUAAGUCAUAACA